rnacentral:rRNA from 1 species
UCUUGAGAGCGGCGGACGGGUGAGUAAUGCCUAGGAAUCUGCCUGGUAGUGGGGGAUAACGUUCGGAAACGGACGCUAAUACCGCAUACGUCCUACGGGAGAAAGCAGGGGACCUUCGGGCCUUGCGCUAUCAGAUGAGCCUAGGUCGGAUUAGCUAGUUGGUGAGGUAAUGGCUCACCAAGGCGACGAUCCGUAACUGGUCUGAGAGGAUGAUCAGUCACACUGGAACUGAGACACGGUCCAGACUCCUACGGGAGGCAGCAGUGGGGAAUAUUGGACAAUGGGCGAAAGCCUGAUCCAGCCAUGCCGCGUGUGUGAAGAAGGUCUUCGGAUUGUAAAGCACUUUAAGUUGGGAGGAAGGGCAGUUACCUAAUACGUGAUUGUUUUGACGUUACCGACAGAAUAAGCACCGGCUAACUCUGUGCCAGCAGCCGCGGUAAUACAGAGGGUGCAAGCGUUAAUCGGAAUUACUGGGCGUAAAGCGCGCGUAGGUGGUUUGUUAAGUUGGAUGUGAAAUCCCCGG